rnacentral:lncRNA from 1 species
UAACAGAAACAGAGAAACGCAGAGGCUUCCCCCGCGAUGGCAGGGACGGCGGUCACGCACUGCUCCACGCGACGCCGCGCACCUCACCGAGCCCCGGAGGCACGGGCACCGAAAGCGCAGCAAGCAGUCUCCAUACGGCCCGGAGCUCAGCGCAGCACCGCAGCACGCGGAGCCCGCAGCCCCCACCGCCCCACGCGAUGCUCACGAAGCCGCUCCCCGCGCGGCUCGGAGGCUUCCCCUCGCCACCGCCUCCCUGGGCGGCACCUCCGCGCCGCGCCCAGCCCACCCCGCUGCUCUGAAGGCGGCCGCGCUCCGGGCGGUGCCGCCGCGGUCUUCGCGCCCCGCAACUGAGGUGAUGGGGCCGCCCCGCAGAGCCGGAUCGGGCGGGGAUGUCCCCUCCCGGGAACGCGGGAUGCGAGCACCGGCGGCGAGGGGGCUCGGCUAUGCUAAUGAGCACCUGCCUCCGCCUCCCGCUCAGUGCUCUGGGAGACCAAAGCAAGCCUUCUGGAUAUGCCGUG